rnacentral:rRNA from 1 species
CCCUUAGAUGUCCUGGGCCGCACGCGCGUUACACUGAUGCAUUCAACGAGCUUAUAACCUUGGCCGAGAGGCCUGGGCAAUCUUGUUAACGUGCAUCGUGAUAGGGAUAGAUUAUUGAAAUUAUUAAUCUUGAACGAGGAAUUCCUAGUAAACGCAGAUCAUCAAUCUGCAUUGAUUACGUCCCUGCCCUUUGUACACACCGCCCGUCGCACCUACCGAUUGGAUGGUCCGGUGAAGCCUCGGGAUUGUGGUUCUUGCCGCUUUAUUGUGGCGUGACCACGAGAACUUGUCUAAACCUUAUCAUCUAGAGGAAGGUGAAGUCGUAACA